rnacentral:rRNA from 1 species
ACACGACUACAUUAGAUACCCCCUGUAGUCCCAGCCCUAAACGAUGCGCGUUAGGUGUAUCGGUGACCACGAGUCACCGAGGUGCCGAAGGGAAACCGUGAAACGUGCCGCCUGGGAAGUACGGUCGCAAGGCUGAAACUUAAAGGAAUUGGCGGGGGAGCACCGCAACGGGUGGAGCUUGCGGUUUAAUUGGAUUCAACGCCGGAAAUCUUACCGGGACCGACAGCAACAUGAAGGCCAGGCUGAAGACUUUGCCGGAUUAGCUG